CCCGACCGUUGCUGCUACCUUGACGUGGUGGUCGGGCUUGCCUAUCGUGAUGAAACAAUCGAGCUAUACUGGCUGGAACAGUCGUUCCUCGAGGUCCUACCAUACGAGACAGGUCGGUUGAAGAGCGGUAAGACUAAAGGCAGC
rnacentral:ribozyme from 1 species